AAGAAAUAGAAGGUGCGUAAUACACAUUUCAUUCCCACACUUUUUUUUCUCCAAAAAUUUCACUCCACUUUCACAAGCCACGCCAGAACACCCCACUCCUUCUUUCAAUCUUUCAUCCCAUCAAAAAACCCCAAAAUCAGUUUCAUCUUUCUUCCCCAAAGUCAUGGCUUUCUUCAGAAAACUUAAUCGCAUCUUUCUUCCCUAAACCCUAAUCCCCAAAUUAGUUUGUUACCAUCCUCUGCUGUAAGCUUUCUCAAUCAGUUCGAAUUCGCCGCACCAGUUCGAUUCGCCAUACACACAAUCUACUGAGCUUUUUGUCCCUCACGAUUUGAAGAUGUGAAGUCUGCACUUGGGGUUCGAUUAACAGCUUUCUCGCUUUUUCCUUUGUCGAUUUUUGGUUUUGGUAAGCUUUCUCCUUUCUCAUGUAAUUUGUUUUCUUUUGAUUAUUAGUUUUUUAGCGUAUAAAGUUGGUGAAUUUUGAUAUUUCAUGCUAUUUGUUUAUUAUAGUAAAAUGAUUUGUAUCGUGGAUUGAAAUGUUGGAAUAUGUACUUGGCAUGAAUGAAGAGAAACUUGAGCCAUUUUAG